GGCAUGGCAAUCUGCAGAACAAAAAGAGCAGAGCCCCAUGUUAGUGAAGGGCUGCUGAUCCAGCAUGACAGUGCCCAUCCUUGUAAGUCCUGACCAUGGGGCCUCUGAGCCCCCAUCCUACAGUCCCAAGGUUGAGCAAUGGGAGGUUCACUGGUGCUGUGAAAUUGAACACCUUAGCAAGAAUGCUCCCCACGAUACAAGAAAAUGUGUCAGAGAAUAAUAGAAUAGUAGUAAAAUAGAAUAAUAGUAUAAUAGAACUCUUCAUUAGAAGGACCCAUAGAGUUCACCUAGUCCAGCUCCCUUGCAAUGAACGGGGACACCAACAGCUAGAUCAGGUGCUCAGAACCCCGUCCAGCCUGGCCUUGAAUGUCUCCUGGAAAAAGGCAUUCACCACUCUCUGGGCAACCUGUUCCAGUGCUUCACCACCCUUACUGUAAAAAACUUCUUUAUUAUACCCAGUCUAAAUCUCUCGUCUUUUAGUUUGAAGCCAUUUCCCCUUGUCCUAUCACAGCAACUAAAUAGUGUGUCACCCCCAUUAAAUGCAUUUCUCAGGGUCACGUCUCUCUGGGGCACUCCUGGAUGAGUGGCUCUUUAUCUUGCAGGCUUCCAGCACAAGAACUAGCUCAGCUAAGUCUUUUCUCGUAUAAAUAGCCUGUUGGCACAUAAACCAUGCUCAGGGGCUGCAUUCUACCAAUAAAUUCUGGUUUCUGCUCUGAACAUCCACCUAUCCCUUCAGCAACAAGUCUUCCAACCAUGCUUUUUCACAACAGCCUUCACUCUUGCCUUGCAGCUGUCUGUUGCAAUGUUAUACUGUGGGAAUAGGAUGUAUCUAGUUUUAUGUUUGGCAGUCGGCACUGCAGAAGGUCCCUGACAUCCGUAUUCUGACUCCUGCAAUGGUACCUGUAGUAGGCUACCAGCACUUGUUGUUCUGUCCCUUGAACGUGCCCCACUGUUUAAAUUCUUCCUGUGCAAUCUUCAUUUCCCUCCCCUAUAGCUUAUAGCUGCAUGGGUAACUAUUAAUAGCACAUUGCUGCACUGGAAAUGCAGAGCCUGGGGUACGAAGAACUGAGAGCUUUUGACACUUUACCAAAAGCCGGUCCAGGCUGUCCCCUUAUCAAAAGUGCCAUCCCACUGCAGUUUACAUGGUGUGCCCAGCUGCAUGUGCAAAUCAUAUCAGCACAAGUCCCGUGGGCUCUGUCAAGGAGCUGGGCAGCAAAGCCUCACUCUGCAUCAGUCUGGCUGCCCUCUGCCCUGCAGAUAGGAAGCCUCAGCUCCCAGAGCCUGAAAACUCUGUCAGGUUACCGACAAAGAGGAAAAGGCACUGGGGAGUCAAGAGAUUCAGGCUUGUUUCCCAGAUUUGAAACAGUUGUCUCUCAUGGCCUUGUGCAAAAUGCUUUUUCUCCACUCCCUCCGGGUCCUUAUCAGGAAAACUGGAACAGCAGCUUCUCGACUCCCUUCUGUCCUGCCUGCCCCGGUGCUAAUGGGAAGAGUUUUGCUGAACGUGGUAGAGCACAGCCCAGCACAAGGAGUUCUCACAAGGGCAGUGAUGGGCCCACGUCCUAAACACCACCAUAAGCAACCAGGUUAGGAGCCAACAUUCCCUGCUUAAUAUCAAACUCUGCUUUUUCUGAUAAUGUGGUAUAUGCAGAGAUUGUAUUCUGCACUGAAAAGCUGCCCUGGGGUUGUGAGAGAUGUGCAGCCCUGUAGCCUCAGGAUGCUCUAGGUUCUCUGUCAGGUUUUUAUGGGAACACAGCAGGCGUGGUUUAUAUGGGUACAGAGCAUGUCUAGGAGGAGCAUGGCAUUCACAUGGUGAUGUGGGACACCAGCAGUAGAGCUUGCAGGGCUGCACACCUCUGUGGUGCCCACUGACCCUACUCAUAUAUUCCCAGACCCUUGAGGAGAACAUCAUCGAGUUCCUAAUUCUUUUGGAUGUCUGCAGACCUCAUAUAAGAAAUUACAGUGCAAAUAUCCCAGGGUGAUUUUCCUGCCUGGAAACCUUCCAGGUUUUUAGCACGUGAGUUUCGUUUCAUACUGGUAAGCAUGCAGCUCUUCGUAUCUGGCAGCACUCCGAGCUGAAACACCGCUGUGGGAGAAGAGGACUUUCUUUUUGCCUUUGGUUGAUCACCUCCUAUGUGUCCAGUGUCUCCGCCACGGUGAGCUGCAAGGUGCAAACUUCUACAAGGGCUCAAUGCAGCAACAGCAGAAAUUGCCCCAAAAAGCAGUGUUUCAAAGAGUCUUUUGCAUGUUGGAAUUUUACAAAUCUCCAAUGAGGAAAAAAAACUCUUCAUGGUGAUGUGCCAGGCUGGGCUGCAGCCAGCAGACCUGGAGCGGGAGCAGCUGGGUGGCAGAGCAUGGUGGGAGCACUGCAGCCAGGAGCCUUCACUGCAGACUCACUCACAUACUGCAGCCCUUUGGAGAGGAUCAUCUGCAUAAUUACAAGGAUCACAAAUUCUGCACUUCCCCUAUCAGUGAGCGUUUUCCUUUUGGGUACAGUAUGUUCCUGCAGAUUCCAACGAUAAACUGUCCUAAUGGUCUUUGCAGUCAUUUGAUGUAGCUACAUAAAAAUGUCCUAGCACUGCGCUGGAAGGCAGCUCCCCUCCGCGUGGAUCUGCAUGGGAACAGGGUGUGUGCAGCACGUCCCAUCCACGGGUAAGCUAAUCCUCUCUGCAGAUAAAACUUGCCAGCAAAACCUAGCCUGAAAAAGUAGUUACCGGGGUUGUUUAUUUUUCAAAGGAUGGAUAAAAUUUCAGAGCGAUAAAAUCACUUCCUUGAAAUGCUUUCAUUCAAAUAAUUUACUUCCUUCUGGAAGGCUUAAUCUUUCCUUUGCUGAACCUUUUUUUGUUUUUUUUUUUUCUUUUAAUUUUUGCUCCUUCCCCAGCAGGGCAGAGCUGGGCCAAUGUGCAGCUGUGAGCGUGAGCGCGGUGAGCGGGCAGCACGUGCCGUGCCAGCUGUGCCCAACGCGCACCGGCAGCCCUCCAGCAAACGUCCCAUUGUGCUGGUAAAUGUCUCAUUGUGCUCUGUUCCCAGGAGCCCCGCAGACCACGACAGUGAAAACUGUUGUUCAGCGCCAUUAGAGGGGCUGCACCCUGAUGUGGGGUGUGCUGGUGGGCUACACCUUGCGGGAGGGGAGCUGAGCACCAUGGGUUUGGGGAUCACCUCCUCCAACU
ensembl:lncRNA